AGUUGAAUGACUGGGUUGUGUGGUACUCUUGUUUAACUUUUUGAGGAACUACCCAACUGUUCUCCGAAGCAGCUCAUCACUCACAUCCCCAUCAGCAAU
rnacentral:pre_miRNA from 1 species